GGCCCAUUAGCUCAGUUGGUUAGAGCAGACGACUCAUAAUCGUUUGGUCUCCUGUUCAAGUCAGGAAUGGGCCACCA
rnacentral:tRNA from 2 species